AUUGAACGCUGGCGGCAGGCCUAACACAUGCAAGUCGAGCGGAUGAAGGGAGCUUGCUCCUGGAUUCAGCGGCGGACGGGUGAGUAAUUCCUAGGAAUCUGCCUGGUAGUUGGGGAUAACGUCCGGAAACGGGCGCUAAUACCGCAUACGUCCUGAGGUAGAAAGUGGGGGAUCUUCGGACCUCACGCUAUCAGAUGAGCCUAGGUCGGAUUAGCUAGUUGGUGGGGUAAAGGCCUACCAAGGCGACGAUCCGUAACUGGUCUGAGAGGAUGAUCAGUCACACUGGAACUGAGACACGGUCCAGACUCCUACGGGAGGCAGCAGUGGGGAAUAUUGGACAAUGGGCGAAAGCCUGAUCCAGCCAUGCCGCGUGUGUGAAGAAGGUCUUCGGAUUGUAAAGCACUUUAAGUUGGGAGGAAGGGCAGUAAGUUAAUACCUUGCUGUUUUGACGUUACCAACAGAAUAAGCACCGGCUAACUUCGUG
rnacentral:rRNA from 1 species